GCCACAGUCGGUGACUCUAGGAGACUGCCAGCGGGCGAGGUGGCCUUCCUCGGCACCGGACACGCAGCCAGAUGGAAUCCGUGGCAGAGGGCCCCGUCCCGGGUGAGGGGGGUCCCCCGAGAAGGAACUAAAGCCAGAUACUAGCGGUCAAGGCGGUCCGCUCGUCUUACGCCGAGACCCCCCUCAGCAACGGGGCCGCAGACCCCCGCUUGGUCACUCUCGUGGGAAUUCGGGAAGCAGUGCACGGAUCUGUGAUGAAGCCUUGAUCUUUGUCGUUUGAAGGUGUCACC